rnacentral:lncRNA from 1 species
UUAAAUGUCUUUGGUGCAUAUUUGCAAUUAGGUUUGAAUGAACAUAAGAACAUAAGUGAGUAUUACUAAUGUCCAUGUCAUACUCUUACCUUUGCAGGACCGUAGGGUAAUUUUAUCUCCUUAUAAGCCAGAGAGUAUGCCAUCUUUUUCUCUGCUUUACUUUCUCCCUAUUUUAUGGAGCAUCACUCCAUAGUACACUCAUAGUAUAAGAACACUGGAAAUGAUCUGAGCCUAUAUCUCAGGUGUAGCUGUCCCCCACUCCCAUCCCCUCAUUUUCUUUUAGGUGCUAACUUCAUUCUUUUCAACUUCCUUUGAAGUAGCUGAUGCUUUCAGGUGAUGCCAUUGGUUUGAUGAGGAAGCCUAAAUCGUUGAAUAUAAUAUCAUUGCCAUUCUUCAGGGUGUCUGCUGGUUGCCUAGAGGGAUGAUGGAGGAAUUCUUUCCUUCUUAGGUAUAAUUUGUCUCCUGGGGUGCUUUAGAAGAAGAUUUCACCUUCCUUUGAAUCACUGGAGAUUGCUGAAGACAGGCAUAGGUGGUCAACAGCAGAAGCCCAGAGUGCAAGUGAAGUGUUAUUAUUUCUUAGCAGGGCUUGAAGUCAGCAAAGAUCCAGAAUUGCUGAAGCCAAAGCUGUGAUGGCCUGCCAAAUCUGCUCUUAGCCUCGCCCUGCGAGAGGAAAUUACCACCUAUAUCUCAUGCUGUUUUCCAUCUUGCUUUCUUUUGUGGCACUUCAAGCAUUACACUGUAUUAAGUACUCCAUGCGCUCCUCAACAGACUAGUUGAGGGAAAAGAUCUGUAAAAAGCUUUGUAUUAAACAAGUGAAGACAAGAGGAACACAACACACUAGAGACACUGGUAAACGAACAAAGGCCUUAUCCAAACAUAUGUCUAUAGCCAUCCUCAAAUGAUUAAAGGAUCUCAAUUUUUUCACUUUGGAGGAAUGGAGGAACAAGCAGUGUUUAAAUCUUUAAACAGUAAGACUUGUGGUCUCACCCUUUAUUGAUUCAGGUACUAUUUAUCUCCUUGUAUAUUUCCCCACAACUAAACAAAAAUGGUUCCUAUUAUAUUCUAUUCCUUUUAGGAAAAAAAUCAAACAUACCCUGCCUGGGAGGAAAGCCAAAAUGUUGAAAAGAUAUGAUGAAUGAGAGUAGACAUUCACUGAAACAGAAGCACUGAACAAAAAAGCAAAGCAUCAGCAUGGUAAUGCUUUUAUUUUCACUAACAAAUCUGAAGUCUGCCGCUUAUUAAGGCAUAAUAAUUUAUUUUUUUUUUCAGCUUAACAUUUAAAUCCAUAUAAACUGAA